GCUGGGCUUACAGGCAUGAGCCACCGCGCUGGUAAUCCUUAGGAUUUUAAGCAUAGAAAUGUCAUUUGCAAUUUGGGACAGUCUUUUUUCUUACUUCGCAUCUGUAUACCUUUUAUUUGCUUUUCUCAUGUUAUUGUACUAGGUAAUAACAGUGUGAUGUUGAAUAUGAAGAGUGACAAGUCAUCCAUGCCCUGUUCCUGAUAUUAGGGGGGAAAUGUUCAGUUUCUCUAUUUUUUUUUCUACCCAAAUCAAAAGGACAGUUUCUUAUUAGUAUGAUGUUGAAAGUUUCUUCCAAAGAGUUUCCCUGUUGAGUUUAUUAAGUUUCCCUCUAUUCCUAAUUUGCUGGGAUUUUUUUGUUAUUAAGAAGUGUUGAAUUUUGUCAUACGCUUUUUCUCUAUCAAUUGAUUUAAUUGUAUGCUGUUACUUCUAUAGUCAGUUGAUAUGGUGUAUUACAUUGAUUGAGUUUUGAGUAUUGAACGAGCCUCACGUCCUUGUGAUAAGCCCUACUUGGUCAUGGAGUAUAAUUUUGUAUAUAUACCAUGCUACAGUAUUUCAUUUGCUAGUAUUUUGUUGAGGAAGUUCUCCUCUAAUUUCAUGAGUGAUAAUGAUAAAUGUUAUUUGGUUUUGAUGUCUAGAUGAUCAAUAGCCUCCCAACAUGAAUUGGAAGGAAUUCUCUUCUGUUUUUUUUUUUUUGGAAGAUGGUAUAUAGAAUCAGUGUUAUUUGUUCCUUUAAUGUUCGAUAGCAUUCUCCAGUGAACAAGUGGGACCUGGAGAUUUACUUUUAGAUGCUUUUUAAUUAUGUAUUUAUUUUAUUUAAUAGCUAUAGAACUAUUCAGAGUAUUUCAUAUUGAAUGAAUUUUUAUAGAUUUUCUUAGGGAAUUGUUCAUUUUAUGUAAAUUUUCUAAUUUGUAGCAUUCUUUUAAAUAUUACCUUUUGAUGGCAGCAGAAUCUGUACUUAUGUUCCUUGUUGUAUUCUUAAUAUUGGAAAUGUAUCACUUAUCAUUGUCAGUCUUUGUAGACAUACAUCAAUUUCACUGAUCAUUUCAAAGAAACAGCACUUUAUAUCUCUGAUUUUUCUCCACUCUCUGCUCUUCAUUUCACUGAUAUCUGCUGUGCUCUGUAUUGUGUCUUUUCUUCUACUUG